rnacentral:rRNA from 1 species
GAUAAACGCUGGCGGCGUGCCUAACACAUGCAAGUCGAACGUCCUCUCUCGCAAGAGAGAGGGAGUGGCGGACGGGUGAGUAACACAUGGGUCACCUACCUAAGUGAGGAAUACCGCGAGAAUCGCCGACAAGACCGCAUAGGCUCUCUCUUUUGCAAGAGAGAGCAAAGCUUCGCAAGAGGCGCUUGAGGAUGGGCCUGUGGCCGAUUAGCUGGUUGGAGGGUAAGUGGCUUACCAAGGCGACGAUCGGUAGCUGGUCUGAGAGGACGAUCAGCCACACUGGGA